GAAGAUUUUCCACUUUCCAAAUUAAUCUGGCUAUUUUACUUCUGCCAUCCUCUGAAGCCUAGAGACAGCAUUCAAGAGGAUUUUCAGUGACUCAUCAGGAUUUGAAGCAAAAGGGCAGAGUCAGGCGAAGUAGUCUUUUCCUGCUUCCUUUUUUCUCUGAAAAUGAAAAUACCUUAUUUAGAAACAUAACCCAUGCUCAGUUUGAAGAAGUUAAAAUAGUAUAGAAAUUAAAAGCCCAUCCCCACCGCUCUGAGAUAGCCUCUGAGGCUUGUGGGGCUUGAGUGGGUAGACUUGUGGGGUGACAGGCUUCAGACAUUCAAAGGUAGCUUGAGGUACCUGGGGAGGAAGUCCCCAGAAGCAAGGGGGACUGUGUGGCAGGACGGGAGUGGCUUUAGAGUAGGAGGACUGAGUGUCGUCAUAGUAUGAAUGGAGCUGAUUUGUUUUGCAACCUAUAACCUGGCUCACUUUCUAAACGAGAAUUUCUACACAUUAUGAGCUCAGCAAAAUAAGGAGGAAAAAAGGAUUGAUUGAGAAUAUCACCAUUUUGGAAACCAAAAUGAAAAAAAAAAGGCCCUUGGUUUUUCAACCCCAUAUGGUGCCUAUCAGAAUUGCAUAAGGGGCUUAAAACACACACAGGUACAUAAAUGCAUGUACAUAUGCGCACACACACGCUGCCUGGGUCCCACACCAGAGAUUCAGAUAUAAUUGAUUGGACUAGGACUAUGGCAUCAGUGGCUUUUAAAAUCUCUCCAAGUAAUUUUGUGCAGUCAGCACUGAGAACCACUGAUCUAGACGAUGACUAUGCUAUAUUACUGGCAGGGAUCUCUAACAUGACAUGAAAUCGUCAGGCUGACCACCCUAAAUACCUAACAUCACUAAAACUGGGACAACCAGACAUGAUGGCUUCCUGAUAGGAUACACUAGAAAGUAUACAGCAUCGCCUACAAAGAAUUCUCACCAAAACAAUUGACCUAAAACUCAGUCAAGCCUUAAUAUCAGUUUGCAAAAAUUACAGGACACAGAUGAACAUUUCAGAGAGGUAAUUAGCAAAAUCAGCAAAACUUGUAGCUUGGAAUGCAAUGUUGUGCUAUUCUAAGAGUGAUCCCCAGACUACCAACAAAUGGAUCAUCUGGGAAGUUGUUAGAACAGCAUUGCAGGCACACUCCUACGAAGUAGGCUCUGUACUUUAAGAUUCCUAGGGAUUUAUAUGUACAUUCAAGUUUGAGCAGCUCUGUUUUCCAGGUCAAAUGACUGAUACAGUCCAAGCAACUCUCUACUCUUGUAUUUCCAUGGUAAGAAAAUUUAAAAAUUGUAUAAAAAUCAAAGAGGCAAAGUGAGCUUUUGAGGCACCUCAAACCUGUGGGAAAUCUUCAAGAUGGGCCAGAGCCAGAGACGUGCUGUUGGGUUGCUGUUUUCUACCAACUGUACUCCCAGGCUAGAUGGCCUGGGAAAUACCGAUUACAUUCUAGAGGCCUGUCCCUGUCCGCCUUCCUAGACAGGAAGUCCUAAAUGACCAUGGUCUUUUGUUCUUUUCUCUUCAGUUCUUAGAAAUAACCUGGCUCAGGGGAGGAUCUCUAAUCGUUGGAUGGGGGGAUGAGUGGAUGGGUGGGUGGAAGGAUGAAUGGAAGAUUGUUUGGAUAAUAGAGUCAAGGCUGAGUCAUGGUUCUUCGUAUGGAAUAAAAGAGGAUUAAUAGAAUGUCAUAAGGAUAUGUCACUCACGCCCCCAACCACUAUUUGUUGUGUGCUCCUAUAUCCCACCACGGGGCUCUAGAGGCACGAUAGUGAGCAAGACCAGGCUGAUCCUUGCUCCCGUGGGAUAAUAUUCUCGAAGGGCUUAUCAAGUGACAGGCAGAGAGGAAGCAUCCAAUAAUGGGCCACUAUUGUUAUGGGUUAGGAGAAAGGCCGCCCUAUUCAGGGGUAUUUCCUUCCCAAGGUGAUUACCUCUCCUUGUUUACAAUUAUGCUGGCCCAGCUGGAUGUGUUUUGUGAACAUUAUAUAAGGUGACUCAGCUUUGAUGAUGUUCUCAGGAAAGAUCCCAGGUCAGAGUGAGAUGUGUGAUCAGCCUGGGGCACAGAAAAGAAGUUCCUUAAACUUUUGCUUAGUGAUUGUGAGGUAUUCCCUGCCCCUAGAGGCUUUUCUGGUAAUUUAAGCUAAGAAUGAAUAACUCAGUGCUUUUGCUACUCAACGUUUUUCUCAUAAUAGCUAUGAUUAUUGAACAUUUGUUACAUGGAAGGCACUUUACCCAGUAGACAACUUUGGAGCAUCUGCCUGUCCUCAGUGAUCCCCCUUCUCCGAGAGCUCUUCUCUCUCUGCACCUCCCGCAGAGGGAGGGGGGGCUCCUGCCAACCACGGUCUUCCUACAGAACCCACCCCCAGCCGUGACUGAAUUGACCAGGUCCUUUGAGACACCUGACUUGACCGAGACCCAAUCAGUUUUCAGCCUAGGAAUUCAGAGCACUGACACUCGGAGGCAGCAUGGUGUGGGACUGAAGCGAGACAUUUAAACUCAGGGACUGGGGCAUAGCCAUAUUUAGUCACUUAGAGUGAGGAGCAGAGAAAGGUCAUUGAUAAAGAGAAAAAAAAAAAGCCAAUGGAUGGAGAGAAGAGACUGAAAGAGGGUGCCCAGAAAUGUCAUUUCAGUAUGUUAUUGUGUUCCACUGGGAAAAGCUUUUGGAUCAACUCUCCCUUUGACCUGAAAAACAUGUGGUUCAUAAUGGUAUCUGCCAGCCGCUGCUCCUGAGAAAUGAGCAGAUCCCCCUGAGGUCUGAGUACCACUCCCUGAAUGGUGUUCAGCAGUAGUGGGCGUGCCCGCCAUCCGAUUGCUUCCUCUGCAGUUCUCCUACUGUCCAUUGUUAGAGCCCCAGCAUGCUCCAAGCCGCGAGACCUAAAAUACGGAAAUUAUUUUGUUUUUCAAAUCAGUCCUUUAAUUAUUUCCCUUCUCUUUCAGGAAUUGGAACCAUCCCUCUUUGCAAGAGACAAAAAAAACACCUCACUCACACAUAACAUGUCCCUCCUUGGGGGUGGGGUAAUGUUUUCAGACAACCAAGGAUUCCAUAUACAGUUCCUCUACCCUAUUCACCAUAUUCCUGUGCUUAUUAUCUCUCCCAAUUAAUUGUGAAUUCAGUGAAUAACAGAAAAAAAGUGAUGGUGAGAGUUUGGAGUUGCGAAAGCCUGAAUUUAGUUUAAAAGAGCAUAAAAUAUAUGCCAUGUUCUGAUUAUCUAUUGUUGCAGAACAGAUUACCCCCAAAUUUAGCAGCUUAAAACAACCAUUUAAUUUUGCUCACAGUUUUGUGGUUUAAGAACUGGCAAGGCUCAGAUGAUUCUUGUCAGAUUCUUUCAUGCAGUCUCAGAUGUUGGCUAGGGAUAGGCUGAAGGCUUGACUGGGCUGUAUCCAAGGUGGUAGUUAACACAGGCUGUUGGCUAACAGCUAGUCUAGGCCCUUGACUCAAGUACCUACCCAUGGCCUCCCGAUGUCGCCUGGGUAUCUCACAGCAGGUGUCUGGGUUCUGAGAGGAAGCAUCUAGAAAGGGAGGGUUUUGAGACCAAAGCAGGAGGUACAGGUCUUCUUUUGAUCUCGCUUCAAAAGUCACAGUAUUAUCACCAUGUUCUUUUCUGUAAGUCUCAAGUGAGUCACUGAAGUCAGCCCAGAUCCAAGGGGAGGGGGAUGGUAGCCCACCUCUCUUUGGGAGAAAAGCCAAUGAAUUUGCAACCAUCUUUCAUCCAAUACAUGUUCCAGAUGGUUCAGAGGAGCCAGGAAGAACCCAGUCACCCUCUGGAAUUGAGGUAGAGGAAGGAAUUUGGAGGAGGAUGGAAGAGAAGCUGGACACCCAAGGUCCCGUGACAGGAAACCCCUCUCUUCCUUUACAAAUGCUCAAAGAGGCAAGCUAAGAAAUGCCAGAAUCUCGAUAUGGCUUAGAGUAUCUGAGAACCUGGGAAACCUUUGCCUUUCUUCUUACAAACUCAGAAUGACUCAAAAGCACUGAGUAGAAAUGUGUAGGUGCCGGGUCAAGGCAGAUGGGCCCCCACAGCCCAGCAAGGCACAAGAAGAACCAGGCGUUUCCAGUACACAGUUCAAAACUCCCAGGCCCCUGUCGUGUUAAUGAAGGGUGUGGCAGUUUCUCAAGACUGUCACCCAGAGACUAGAUGGGAGUGAGAAUGUCUUGGCCAGUGUCCUGCCUGGACCGACGGCUGCUGAGGACAGGACGGCCCUCUCCCGGUGCCUAGCAACUCAGCUACAACUCUAGGGAAAAUAGCAGCUGUACUGGUUUCCUGUGGCCACUGUGACCAACUACCACACACUGGGUGGCUGUCACAACAGAAAGGCAUGCUCUCACGGUUCUGGAGGCCAGCAGUCUGAAGUCAAGGUGUGUCACCAAGGCCGGUUCCUUCUGAGGCUCUGAGGUUCGAUCCGUUCCACGCCUCUCUCUUAGCUUCUGGCGGCUGCUGGCAACCCUGGGCGUUCCUUGGCUUGUGGAAACGUCACUGCAAAUCUGUACCGCAGAAAUGGACAGUGGAAAAGGGAUUGGAAUAGAGGGACUGAGGGAUGAAGGUAAAAUGAGGAAGUAGGAAAUAACAAGUAGAAUGAACUGGAAGGUGUUGAGGGGAAGUUGUGGAGAGCUUUCCGACUCAGCCUUUCAGUCAGAAGUUUUUAGCUUCUCACGGCAGUUUACUCCAGUGUAGGUUUACGUUUUACAAGGAAAGUAAUUUCUGAAGAGGCCCAACUUGUGUGUUAGGUUGACUGUGAUGCCGCGGUCGGGCACUAGGAGGCGCACCGUCGCGCCCGGAGCUGCCUGGUACCGACUUCAGGGCCUUUGGGAACCUCUGUCGCUGUAGUACACGGCCUUGGCUGGUAGGUGGCUUCCCACAAUUGCAAAUGAAAUUGAGCCCAACCUAUUUCACUUUUUCUUUCUGCUCUUGAUCUCAAAUAAGUCUACUGUUCUACUCCCCUGCCCUUUUUUGGAACAAAACUUCUCAAAAGGGCAGCUAGUGGCUGCCGUCUCUGCUUCUCACCUCCCAUCUGCUUCCCCACCCACACUAGGCAGGCUCCUGCACCAGUGCCGCACCCCCGCACUGCACCCCCUUGCACUAGGCUCAGCACGGCCUCUGUGCUACCAAACGUGACGUCACUCUUCGGGCCUUGGGCUCCUCUCCUUCAUGAUGCCGGACUGCAUGGCUGUCCCCUGCCUCACCGACACCUCCUCAGAUUCUUUGACUGGCUCCCAGGCUGCUUCCCUUCUCCCCUCCAACUGUCCUCUCAUCCUAGAUGACGUCCUCCACCUAUCAUGAGCAGAAGUGUGACUUCCGAUGCUAGAUCCUAAAAGACGUGGCCGACCGUUGGAUUGCUUGCUCCCGGAGUCAGCUCAUCCCUCCCGUGGACACCCAGACCACCCUGCAGAGAGGCAGGCGUGACAAGGAACUGAGGCCUCCUGCCAGCGGCCAGCGAGGAGCCAAGGGCUGCCCCGACUUGGAAGGAGAUCAGCCGGCAGAUCCUCAGUCAAGCUUUCAGGUGACUGUAGCCCCUGCGGAUGGCUUACCUUCUGAGAGACCCUGGCCCAGGACCGCCCAGCUGAGCUGCUUCCAGACCCUUGACCCUCAGAAACUGCAUUAGAAAAUAAAUGUUAGUUGCUUUAAGCCGCUAAACUUUGGGGUGGUUAUGCAGGAAUAGAGAACUGAUACACCCACGCCUGCCUCUCUGAUCUCACCUUUCAGUGCUUUCUCACCUGUUCCUGCGUCUGCCCACCUGCUGUGCCUGACACACACCAGAGUCGUUCCUGACCCAGGCCACUGCCCUCCCUGUUUACCCUACAUCUCAUGUUUGGAGUCUUCCUGUUAUCCAGGACUUAGUCUUCUAUUCUCGGUUAACCACUUCCUCAUCACCAUCCCCAAAACUGUCCAUCACACUGUGCUGUUUUAUUUUCCUGGCAGCACUCAUCACUAAUUAUAAUUAACUUUUUCAUUGAUCAGUUCAUUUACACAUUGUCUGACCAGGAAAAUGCUCUUGUAUGUACCAUGGUAUCCUCUGUGCCUACAAGAAUGCAGGGAAAAAAUGCACUCAAGAUACAUUUAUUGAAUACAAUAAUGAAUAAAAUCCUUUAAAUAUUA